rnacentral:rRNA from 1 species
GACGAACGCUGGCGGCGUGCUUAACACAUGCAAGUCGAACGGAAAGGCCCUGCUUGUGUGGGGUGCUCGAGUGGCGAACGGGUGAGUAACACGUGAGUAACCUGCCCUAGACUUUGGGAUAACUUCAGGAAACUGGGGCUAAUACCGGAUAGGAGCUCCUGCUGCAUGGUGGGGGUUGGAAAGUUUCGGCGGUUGGGGAUGGACUCGCGGCUUAUCAGCUUGUUGGUGGGGUAGUGGCUUACCAAGGCUUUGACGGGUAGCCGGCCUGAGAGGGUGACCGGCCACAUUGGGACUGAGAUACGGCCCAGACUCCUACGGGGGGAAGCAGUGGGGAAUAUUGCACAAUGGGCGGAAGCCUGAUGCAGCAACGCCGCGUGCGGGAUGACGGCCUUCGGGUUGUAACCCGCUUUCGCCUGUGACGAAGCGUGUGUGACGGUAAUGAGUAAAGAAGCACCGGCUAACUACGUG